CUGACUCUCUCUUCCUUUCACUGCCUGCCAGCUACUUUGUUUUCUUUAUCUUCUUCCUUUCGUGUCUGCAUUUUUCCUUCAAUUUUCGUUGAUGGGUUGCAUUAUUUCUAAAUAAGGAUGAUGUUGGGUUGCAUCAUUUCUCAUAUGUAGUGUUGUUGGGUCCCAAUUUUCACAUCUCAUUUUUUUUCCCGCGCGACGACCAAUUCUUGUUCUUUAUCAUUUUUUCCACUGAUUUUUGGGGAUUUUUUCUGAGUUUGUUUUCUAAUUUCUGGAAUGAUGGUGUUGAUUUCACUGUUUGUAAUAUUUAUUUUGCAAUUUUUUUUAUCGAAAAGCUGAACAGAGACCUGAUGGGUAAUGGUGAAUUUCCCAUGGGUGGCAGUGGCGGUUGGAGUGUAGAAGUGGUGAAGAGCAAUGGUUGCUCUCGGCUGUUUGGUGGGUUACCAUCCCCAUUGUCUUAAAAAUCCACCAAAAUCAUAAACCAAAUUAACAGAAAUCCUUAAAAAUCUAUCUAAAAAUCCUAAAAAAUCCAUAUGAAAUUUGUAAGAGUUUUCAAAAAACAAUCAAAUCUAUUACUUUUAAAGUUUUUUAAAAUCCUCCUAAAUCCUAGGUUACAUUUGGUAAAAGGUGCAUCAGGUUGGCCAAAUGUAGACCUCCUUUUAACUCUUUUUUUAGGGUCAGCUAUUCAAUUGUAAUAAUUGAUUCAAAUUGAACGAUUAAAUUUGAAAACAUCCAAAGGUAGUUUAAUUAAAUUAACCAAUAAAUUCAAAGUAUAAAUUUAAAACUAACAAAUUAUUGAGGGGACUAUGUUUAGCCCACUCAGUUGAAGAUGAUAUAUGAGUACGGCUAACAUUAUUCAUUUAAAAAUAAUUUUUUUGCAGAGCUAUAAUUUUGGACGGAACUAUAUUUAGCUAUUUCAGUUGGAGAUAGUCUAUGGCAUGAAUGGAUUGAUGAUAAUAUCAGAUGACGUCAUUGGGACAUGAAAAAUUUACUCUUGAGUUUUUAUUUUUUAUUUUUUUAUUUUAAUUUUUUAAUUUUUUUUUUGGUAAAACCAUUCUGAAGAAAGGAGACAAUUUUAUUUCAAACACAGAGGCCCACAUACAAAAUAGUACUAGACACACAACUGGACCUCCCAACUAACCCAACAAAGCUAAAAAAAGAGCCCAGCACUAUGGACAAAACAAAAGAAGUUUCUCAGCCCCAGCAUCCAUGGCCGUAAAAUUUUUUCCGAUCAACCCAAAACAAAUCCUCCAGCCAACGCCAAAUCUAAUCAAGCAGGUCUGCAGAACCCAGCCACGAAAGCCGUCUUGAUCCCCCCCCGAUUGCUCCAAUCGCCCCGAUCUUAGCCAGAAAUCGGAAGAAGUCCGUGGGAAUACCCCGAACGACACUACCAACGAACGCAGACAAGGGAGAAGGAGGUGCUGUAUUAAACACCCGAGCCCUUAUGUCCACCGGAGCUCUACGCACCCUCUCAAAUGAUGGCAAAAAUUUGCGUUGAAAUCUGACUAAGGAUUAAAGUGAAAGUAUUUGGGAAGAUAGACGUCGAGGAGAGACAGCUUGGGUGAAUCAGGAAGAACUGGGGGGAAAGUUAACCAAAAACUGAGAAACAAAGAGCAAAAAGAAAAGCUUUCCUCCGACCCUCACCAAAGAAGGGCCUUCGGCAACGAUUUUAUACAGUGGGGAGUUCACUCACACAUAUGGUAGGAAAGACUCUCAGGAAGAAAGAAGAACUCUCACAUUCUAGAAAAACUAUUCCUAAUGCAGCAUUGGCAGGCCGUGUGAAUAUGUAAUCUUCCAAGAAACCACUCUCUCACAUAAUUGCCUUUUUAUAACGGAUAUGCAUUAUAUAUUCUUGAAUGGACAUUGCAAGUUGAUGCCCAUUUCUUAAGUCUUUAUUUAUUCUUUUCCGUGCAAGCUGGUUCAAG
rnacentral:lncRNA from 1 species